rnacentral:lncRNA from 1 species
UGAAGUAUGUUUGAAUUUAUAACUCAAAUCCAAUGAUUUAAUUGCUAAUUUGAGAAUGGAAUGGUACUGUUUAUGUCAAGUGUUCAUUUUCUUCUUAUUUGUGUACAACUUUAAUAACAUGUCAGAAUGCUAUUAAGUAUUAUUCCACCGGUCCAAGAGUAUUUCCUUUUCCUUAGAAUUUUCGAUAGCUUCCCGGGGGCGUAGAAGGCUUAUUAAUAUACAGAUUUUGUUAAGCAUAAGCUCAAUAGAAGUAGUUGGGUGUUGAGUAAAUUCCUUGUCAUCAUGUACAUACGGGGUUGUUCCUAAUUGUGCAACAUAGGACUAAAAAGAACUUUUUCUUUGAGGUAAUUACCUUCACGCACAAGGUUCUCUUAUUUGCCAGAAGAAAAUAAUAAGAGUUCCGCGAUGAAAAAUUCCCAUGUCAUAAUUGAUUGCUCCGCUCGUAAGGUUUGAAAUCAAAUGUUCAAUCACACUACAACGUUGCCAAUAUAGGUUAGUAAGUUGAGCCCAAAUGAUGUCAGUAUUAACUAUGACACCCACAAGCGGAACACUAUUCAGAUUACGGAAACCUUCAUAUUUCGGGGGUGGUGUAGGCAUACAGUGACUUAGAUCAGAUGAGUCAAUUCUGAACAUGAAAACAAAUAAGAUGGUAUUUUGUAGGCACUGGUUGUACGAUUGUGAAGUUUCACUUCCCUAACUCCACAGUUUGAUAUGUUUUUAAUCCAAAUAUCUAUAUCUGAAUAGAGAUGAAGAGGCAGAUCAUUAGGAUUGCAAAGAAUAAACUUCAAUAUGAGACCUCCACAAGAUAAAAGAAUACUGCUGCCGGUUAUUGAAAAUUCAUAUAGUUUAGUUUCUCUAAUUCUGAAAGGAAACCUCUGAGAAAGCCGGUUGAAGAAAAGGUCAUCAAAAACUAGGUGUGAGUGCAUUUCCCAUAUACCCCUCUAUGUUUUUGAGAGAAUGCUCAUUCUUGCUACACAGUCAACCGGCAAUCACUUUUGAAUUAGGUAUAGUAAGUCACAGGGCAUGUCACUUUUGAAUUAGACCUUAUUCUAUAGCGAUUGCCGGUUGACUGUAUUGCAAGAAUGUGCAUUCUCUCAAAAACAUGGAGGGGUAAAUGAGAAAUGCACCCACACCUAGUUUUUGAUGACCUUUUCUUCAAUCGGCUUUCUUAGAGGUUUACUUCCAGAAUUAGAGAAACUAAACUAUAUGAAUUUUCAAGAACCGUCAGCAGUAGUCUUUUAUCUCGUAGUGGUAUCAUAUUGAAGUUUGUUCUUUGCAUUCCUCAUGAUUUGUUUCUUCAUCUCUAUUUAGAUAUAGUUAUUUGGAUUAAAAACAUAACAAACAAUGGAGUUAGGGAAGUGCAACUUCAUAAUCGUAUAUUGAGUGCCUACAAAAUACCAUCUUAUUUGUUUUCCUGUUCAGAGUUGACUUAUUUGAUUCUAAGUUGUAUGCUCACACCACCCCGGAAAUUUGAAGACUUCCGUAAUCUGAUUACUGUUUUGCUUGUGGGUGUCAUAAUUACAACUGGCAUUUCAUUUGGUGCUCAACUUGUUGACCUACAUUUGCAACGUUGCAUUGGGAUUGAACUUUUGGGAUGUCAAUAUAAAUAUUAUAUCAAUCUCACUUUUCUGAGUAUUAGCCAUUGUGAUGUAAUUGGAUCAAAUUUCUUGUAUAGAAUCCCAUGUGAAGGAAACACACGAAUUUAGCUCUAUACAUUUCAGGCCUGGUUCUCAUUUCUAUGUAUACAACUUGGAUAGUUUUAUGAUUAAUAUGCUCGAUAUGAUUUUAAUAAAUGUUAUCCAAACUAAUUGCCUCUAGUUGGUAAUGAUGUAAAUCGAUUUUCAUAGGUAGUUUUUGAUAUCAAUAAUCAAAUUUUUUAGAUAUAUGCAACAGAUCACUGUGAAUAUAUGCGUAACAGGUCACUGUGAAGUGUAAUAAGUGUGAGUGAAGUAUGUUUGAAUUUAUAACUCAAAUCCAAUGAUUUAAUUGCUAAUUUGAGAAUGGAAUGGUACUGUUUAUGUCAAGUGUUCAUUUUCUUCUUAUUUGUGUACAACUUUAAUAACAUGUCAGAAUGCUAUUAAGUAUUAUUCCAUCGGUCCAAGAGUAAUUCCUUUUCCUUAGAAUUUUCGAUAGCUUCUCGGGGGCGUAGAAGGCUUAUUAAUAUACAGAUUUUGUUAAGUAUAAGCUCAAUAGAAGUAGUCCGGUGUUAAGUAAAUUCCUUGUCAUCAUGUACAUACGGGGUUGUUCCUAAUUGUGCAACAUAGGACUAAAAAGAACUUUUUCUUUGAGGUAAUUACCUUCACGCACAAGGUUCUCUUAUUUGCCAGAAGAAAAUAAUAAGAGUUCCGCGAUGAAAAAUUCCCAUGUCAUAAUUGAUUGCUCCGCUCGUAAGGUUUGAAAUAAAAUGUUCAAUCACACUACAACGUUGCAUAUAUAGGUUAGUAAGUUGAGCCCAAAUGAUGUCAGUAUUAACUAUGACACCCACAAGCGGAACACUAUUCAGAUUACGGAAACCUUCAUAUUUCGGGGGUGGUGUAGGCAUACAGUGACUUAGAUCAGAUGAGUCAAUUCUGAAAAUGAAAACAAAUAAGAUGGUAUUUUGUAGGCACUGGUUUUACGAUUGUGAAGUUUCACUUCCCUAACUCCACAGUUUGAUAUGUUUUUAAUCCAAAUAUCUAUAUCUGAAUAGAGAUGAAGAGGCAGAUCAUUAGGAUUGC